UGGGCAAUAGUGUUAGCGACCUCGUGCUAGUGGGUGGCCUUGAGGUUGUCGUAGCCGAGGAAUACCACUUGUCGCGGUAGGCAUCGAUAAGGGCGAUUGUCUCAUUGGGUGACCAGCAGGGAGGAGGAAGGUAGUGGGAGGAGGGAGGCGCGGUGAGAGGAAGGGGAUUCUCUACUACUACUAUUUGCACCACUCCAUUCACCAGGUAAAUACUUUCUUCACUAUAGACGCAGAGUGGGUGCUAACCCAGCUUGGAUAUUAAAAUGUGAUAUUUUAAUUAUUAUUAUUCAAACAAAAUAUUUUAAAAAUAAAAACAAUUUGAUUAUAAGAAAUUAAAAUAUGAUUCAAAUAUAAUGUAUUUCACCCUUUUGAUAUUGUUGAAAUUUUUU
rnacentral:lncRNA from 1 species